rnacentral:rRNA from 1 species
GAUGAACGCUAGCGGCAGGCCUAAUACAUGCAAGUCGAACGAUACUCUUUAGCUUGCUAAGGAGGAAAGUGGCGCACGGGUGCGUAACGCGUAUGCAACCUACCUUAAUCAGGGGGAUAGCCCGAAGAAAUUCGGAUUAACACCGCAUAAAAUCACAGCACAGCAUUGUGCAAUGAUCAAAUAUUUAUAGGAUUAAGAUGGGCAUGCGUGACAUUAGUUAGUUGGCGGGGUAACGGCCCACCAAGACCACGAUGUCUAGGGGGUCUGAGAGGAUGACCCCCCACACUGGUACUGAGACACGGACCAGACUCCUACGGGAGGCAGCAGUAAGGAAUAUUGGUCAAUGGAGGCAACUCUGAACCAGCCAUGCCGCGUGCAGGAAGACAGCCCUCUGGGUCGUAAACUGCUUUUAUUCGGGAAUAAACCACAUUACGUGUAGUGUGCUGAAUGUACCGAAGGAAUAAGGAUCGGCUAACUCCGUGCCAGCAGCCGCGGUAAUACGGAGGAUCCAAGCGUUAUCCGGAUUUAUUGGGUUUAAAGGGUGCGUAGGCGGCUUUUUAAGUCAGGGGUGAAAGACGGUGGCUCAACCAUCGCAGUGCCCUUGAUACUGAAGAGCUUGAAUGAACUAGAGGUAGGCGGAAUGUGACAAGUAGCGGUGAAAUGCAUAGAUAUGUCACAGAACACCGAUUGCGAAGGCAGCUUACUAUGGUUAAAUUGACGCUGAGGCACGAAAGCGUGGGGAUCAAACAGGAUUAGAUACCCUGGUAGUCCACGCCCUAAACGAUGAAUACUCGCUGUUAGCGAUACACAGUUAGCGGCUAAGCGAAAGCGUUAAGUAUUCCACCUGGGGAGUACGGUCGCAAGAUUGAAACUCAAAGGAAUUGACGGGGGCCCGCACAAGCGGAGGAGCAUGUGGUUUAAUUCGAUGAUACGCGAGGAACCUUACCCGGGCUUGAAAGUUAGUGAAUCAUUUAGAGAUAGAUGAGUCCGCAAGGACACGAAACUAGGUGCUGCAUGGCUGUCGUCAGCUCGUGCCGUGAGGUGUUGGGUUAAGUCCCGCAACGAGCGCAACCCCUAUGUUUAGUUGCCAGCACGUUAUGGUGGGGACUCUAAACAGACUGCCUGUGCAAACAGAGAGGAAGGAGGGGACGACGUCAAGUCAUCAUGGCCCUUACGUCCGGGGCUACACACGUGCUACAAUGGAUGGUACAGAGGGCAGCAAGCUGGUAACAGCAAGCAAAUCUCCAAAAGCCAUUCACAGUUCGGAUAGAGGUCUGCAACUCGACCUCUUGAAGUUGGAUUCGCUAGUAAUCGUAUAUCAGCAAUGAUACGGUGAAUACGUUCCCGGGCCU